UAGUCAUAUGCUUGUCUUAAAGAUUAAGCCAUGCACGUCUAAGGAUAAAUAUUUUUUAACCGUAAACCUGCGGAUGGCUCAUUAAAUCAGUUACAAUCUACUCUAUUGUAUAAAUUACUUGGAUAACCGUAGUAAUUCUAGAGCUAAUACAUGCAAAAAAUUUGAACUCGCAAGGGAACAAAUGUAUUUAUUAAGGAGCAAAAUCAAUACAGACCAUCCCAAACUCUAGAUUAUACUGAAAGGUAUUUUUUAGGGGGUUUGUAAAACAAAAUUGAAGA
rnacentral:rRNA from 1 species